rnacentral:rRNA from 1 species
GACGAACGCUGGCGGCGUGCUUAACACAUGCAAGUCGAACGAGAAUCUGUGGAAAGAGGAUUCGUCCAAUUGAAGCAGAGGACAGUGGCGGACGGGUGAGUAACGCGUGAGGAACCUGCCUUUCAGAGGGGGACAACAGUUGGAAACGACUGCUAAUACCGCAUGACACAUAGGUGUCGCAUGGCACUUAUGUCAAAGAUUUAUCGCUGAAAGAUGGCCUCGCGUCUGAUUAGCUAGGUGGUGAGGUAACGGCCACCAAGGCGACGAUCAGUAGCCGGACUGAGAGGUUGAACGGCCACAUUGGGACUGAGAUACGGCCCAGACUCCUACGGGAGGCAGCAGUGGGGAAUAUUGGGCAAUGGGCGCAAGCCUGACCCAGCAACGCCGCGUGAAGGAAGAAGGCUUUCGGGUUGUAAACUUCUUUUGUCAGGGACGAGUAGAAGACGGUACCUGACGAAUAAGCCACGGCUAACUACGUGCCAGCCGCCGCUGUAA